GGGUGAUUAGCUCAGUUGGUAGAGCAGCUGACUCUUAAUCAGCGGGUCGAAGGUUCGAAUCCUUCAUCACCCACCA
rnacentral:tRNA from 8 species